rnacentral:lncRNA from 1 species
GUAGGUGCUGGGCGUGGUGCAGAUGCAACCCAUCAAAAAGCGGGACUCACGCAGGUGUGGCUGUGUGGCCCAUAGCAAAGGACGCUGACUGGACAGCCAACCUCAGGGCACGAGGCAGGGCACCUAGGCACAGGGCAGCACCUGCUGGCACAUGUGUCUGACUCUCCUCUUCACAUCCUAUGAGGACCAGCUGCUCCUGAGGUGCGGGAUCCCUCCUGUGCACGUCAGUGACGAGCCGGGGUCCAGCCAGCCAUCCUGUCUCCUUCAGGUGUUGCUUCAAUGUCUCUAAGUCAGAGGCAAAGAGAUAUCACCCACUUCAAAGUC